GACAGAGGGUGCAAACGUUGCUCGGAAUUACUGGGCGUAAAGCGCGCGUAGGCGGAUCGCUAAGUCAGGGGUGAAAUCCCAGGGCUCAACCCUGGAACUGCCUUUGAUACUGACGAUCUGGAGAUCGGGAGAGGUUGGUGGAAUUCCGAGUGUAGAGGUGAAAUUCGUAGAUAUUCGGAGGAACACCAGAAGCGAAGGCGGCCAACUGGCCCGAUACUGACGCUGGAGGCGCGAAAGCGUGGGGAGCAAACAGG
rnacentral:rRNA from 1 species